UACAGAGGUCCCAAGCGUUGUUCGGAUUCACUGGGCGUAAAGGGUGCGUAGGCGGUCGGGUAAGUCUGAUGUGAAAUCUCACAGCUUAACUGUGAAACUGCAUUGGAUACUAUUCGGCUUGAGAGUUGGAGGGGGGACUGGAAUACUUGGUGUAGCAGUGAAAUGCGUAGAUAUCAAGUGGAACACCAGUGGCGAAGGCGAGUCCCUGGACAACUCCUGACACUGAGGCACGAAAGCUAGGGGAGCAAACAGG
rnacentral:rRNA from 1 species